AGAGUUUGAUCAUGGCUCAGAAUGAACGCUGGCGGCAGGCCUAACACAUGCAAGUCGAACGGAUCCUUCGGGAUUAGUGGCGGACGGGUGAGUAACGCGUGGGAACAUACCCUUUGGUACGGAAUAGCCUCGGGAAACUGGGAGUAAUACCGUAUGUGCUCGAAAGAGGAAAGAUUUAUCGCCAAAGGAUUGGCCCGCGUUGGAUUAGGUAGUUGGUGGGGUAAUGGCCUACCAAGCCGACGAUCCAUAGCUGGUUUGAGAGGAUGAUCAGCCACACUGGGACUGAGACACGGCCCAGACUCCUACGGGAGGCAGCAGUGGGGAAUCUUAGACAAUGGGGGAAACCCUGAUCUAGCCAUGCCGCGUGAUCGAUGAAGGCCUUAGGGUUGUAAAGAUCUUUCAGAUGGGAAGAUAAUGACGGUACCAUCAGAAGAAGCCC
rnacentral:rRNA from 1 species